ACCAGGGGAAGUAGCACAGAGGAAGAGGCAAUACUACCCGAGACUAGAUGCGGACCGUCUCUGGCAACCAGGAAAAGGCAAAUACAAAGAGCGGUGAGUGACAAUGCCUGGUGUGUCUGGGGUCAGGGAACACUAGCAGGCACUAGCAGGUGGCUGCGGCAAGGCCGCGGGUCAAAGUGGUAACUGGGGAUCUGAGUUCGGCAGUGACGCGCGUCCCUCACGUGACCAGGAGCCUAUGUCUGCCCAAGUCCCUCUCGUCCCGGUCUUUUUUUGCCUGUCCACCAUCUCCCUAUUACCUUUGGUCGAGAGGGAAAGCAGAAGGAAGUCUGCUGGUCACAGCGGGGCACCUCGAGGAGAGGACGACUAGAAGCACACGGCCCGGAAAGGUCCAGAAUAACUGUGCU
rnacentral:lncRNA from 1 species